CAAUAGCGUAUAUUAAAGUUGUUGCGGUUAAAAAGCUCGUAGUUGGAUUUCUGCCGAGGACGACCGGUCCGCCCUCUGGGUGUGUAUCUGGUUUGGCCUGGGCAUCUUCUUGGAGAACGUAGCUGCACUUGACUGUGUGGUGCGGUGUCCAGGACUUUUACUUUGAGGAAAUUAGAGUGUUUCAAGCAGGCACACGCCUUGAAUACAUUAGCAUGGAAUAAUAAGAUAGGACCUCGGUUCUAUUUUGUUGGUUUCUAGAGCUGAGGUAAUGAUUAAUAGGGAUAGUUGGGGGCAUUCGUAUUUAACUGUCAGAGGUGAAAUUCUUGGAUUUCUGAAAGACGAACUACUGCGAAAGCAUUUACCAAGGAUGUUUUCAUUAA
rnacentral:rRNA from 1 species